UCUAUUCUCAGACCGAUUAUGCACAAUAUUCGUAUCCUUGAAAAUAAUUUCGAAAAAGUCUCUUACUUUUUUGUUUCUCAUGCGGUUAACAGAGCAGCUCGCACCUUGACUUUGGAAGGAAGAAGACAACAAAUCUCUUACGUUUGGGUAGAUGGAGCUCUAAAAUCAGUGAGGAAUAUGGCAAAUAAGGAUCAGAUGGUUGGGAUCCAGAAUCGCUAAGUUUCUUUUUGGGAUCGCUUUGACUAUGGAGAAGGUUCAAAGAAUCUCUAUGGAUGGGUUCAAAGCUUUUUACUCUUCUUUAUUUUGCUUAUUUCAGAUAAGUUUUUACACAAAGAGAAGAUAGGUGUUGGCUGAUAUUUCUGCUUUUGAGUCAUUGGGUAUCUGGCAUAAGGAGUGUAUUGGUGCUAGCCUUUGCCUCUGUGGUAUUGUGUGAUGUUGAGGGUAGACCAAUUGCUUCCUUUCCCUUACGCUUGGGUUGCAUUUUCGUUAAUCGCCUGGGAGCAUAUAAUCAACCUUUUUCAGCGGUUUAAGUGGAUUGAACCAUCUUAGCUG